rnacentral:lncRNA from 1 species
UGGCAACUUAGUAAAUAAAAGGUUAUUAUUAAAGUCUAUUAGUGAUUAAAAGACUUAAAAUAAAUAUAAUUUACAUCUGUUAUCUUUUAUCAGACUUAAAUCAGUAAUAUUAAGUCUAGUAACAGUAGAAUAGACUUGAAAAAAAUGUUUUAACCUAAAAAACAUCUAAGACAUUUCAUAAACCCUUUUCACUUCUCAGGCAACAAACUCCAGCAUCCACUCGUCGUCUCCUG